UGUGGAUGCAAAGUGUGCGAUGCUGCUAUAUGAAACGCCGCACACUACUGAAUCCUCAGA
ensembl:miRNA mdo-mir-7336 mdo-mir-7336